rnacentral:rRNA from 1 species
UACGUAGGGUGCGAGCGUUGUCCGGAAUUACUGGGCGUAAAGGGCUCGUAGGCGGUUUGUCGCGUCGGGAGUGAAAUCCACUGGCUUAACUGGUGGCUUGCUUUCGAUACGGGCAGACUGGAGGUAUGCAGGGGAGAACGGAAUUCCUGGUGUAGCGGUGGAAUGCGCAGAUAUCAGGAGGAACACCGGUGGCGAAGGCGGUUCUCUGGGCAUGUCCUGACGCUGAGACGCGAAAGCUAGGGGAGCGAACAGG